rfam:Octopus bimaculoides Scaffold29384_contig_79, whole genome shotgun sequence.
GGGGAUGUAGCUCAGCGGAAGAGCGUUUGCUUCGCAAGUAAACUGUCCCGGGUUCGAUCCCCGGCAUCUCCA